rnacentral:rRNA from 1 species
GACGAACGCUGGCGGCGUGCUUAACACAUGCAAGUCGAACGGAAAGGCCCUGCUUUUGUGGGGUGCUCGAGUGGCGAACGGGUGAGUAACACGUGAGUAACCUGCCCUUGACUUUGGGAUAACUUCAGGAAACUGGGGCUAAUACCGGAUAGGAUCUCCUGCUGCAUGGUGGGGGUUGGAAAGUUUCGGCGGUUGGGGAUGGACUCGCGGCUUAUCAGCUUGUUGGUGGGGUAGUGGCUUACCAAGGCUUUGACGGGUAGCCGGCCUGAGAGGGUGACCGGCGACAAUGGGACUGAGAUACGGCCCAGAGUGCUACGGGAGGCAGCAGUGGGGAAUAUUGCACAAUGGGAGGAAGCCGGAGGCAGCAACGCCGCGUGCGGGAUGACGGCCUGCGGGGUGUAAAACGCUUUAGCCUGUGACGAAGCGGGAGUGACGGUAAUGGGUAAAGAAGCACCGGCUAACUACGUG